rnacentral:rRNA from 1 species
UACGAAGGGGGCUAGCGUUGCUCGGAAUUACUGGGCGUAAAGCGCACGUAGGCGGGUCGUUAAGUCAGGGGUGAAACCCCGGAGCUCAACUCCGGAACUGCCUUUGAUACUGGCGACCUUGAGGCCGGAAGAGGUUAGUGGAAUUCCCAGUGUAGAGGUGAAAUUCGUAGAUAUUGGGAAGAACACCAGUGGCGAAGGCGGCUAACUGGUCCGGAUCUGACGCUGAGGUGCGAAAGCGUGGGGAGCAAACAGG